GUGUCAGCCGCCGCGGUAAUACGUAGGGGGCAAGCGUUGUUCGGAAUUACUGGGCGUAAAGGGCGCGUAGGCGGCAUGGCAAGUCGGGAGUGAAAGCCCGGGGCUCAACCCCGGAACUGCUUUCGAAACUGCCAAGCUAGAGUGCGGAAGAGGCAACUGGAAUUCCCAGUGUAGCGGUGAAAUGCGUAGAUAUUGGGAAGAACACCGGAGGCGAAGGCGGGUUGCUGGGCCGACACUGACGCUGAUGCGCGAAAGCCAGGGGAGCGAACGGGAUUAGAUACCCCUGUAGUCC
rnacentral:rRNA from 1 species